UGAGUGGUGCUUGGUGNGUGUGGGCAUGUCGGAUCCCUGCUUCGGGCAGCGACGGCAUCUCCCCCGUGCCUCUUCAUUCGUUGGAACGAGUUAUUACUCGUCCGUGGUCGGUUUUCCUGUGCUGCAUACCAAUUGCGAUGGCAUUCGAUUGGCGAAACGGUCCCAUUCCCGCCCUGUGUCGGCGCUCCGUGCGGGCGUUCGACACGGGGUGGAUCUCAAGGCUUGCGUAGUGUUUCGCGCCGCAAUCACCUAAUUUGGUGUUUGGGUAGGCGACGCACGACGUGAUGCCCGUCGUCUCGGGUACGGAACAUCGGGUGGGUUCGAGGCAUUGUCCUUUGAUCACCACACAAAUGCGUUCACGCUUUAUGCGAACGACGGCCGCGCGUCCUCCGGCGGAGCACCCGUUGCUCGGUCGGAGUCGCGUCGGCGUCGGUGAGGGAUGC
rnacentral:misc_RNA from 1 species